AUGAUAAGAAGGCAUUUCAAGUUAAUUACCAAUACAAGACUCUAUAUCCAAGAGGAUGUUCGAUACCAUUCCAAAACCAUACAUCAUAUGUCAUUUCAAAAUUACAAAGAAAAUUUCAUAAAAACUUCUCCUAAAAACUUAGUUCUAAUCUUCCAUCCUACUUCUGUUUCUUCUCAGUUCAACCUUGCUUGCACUAUGCCUAAACUUCUUCACGCUUCCUUCAAAAAAUUUACCAUGGCAGCCCUGCAUAAUUUAUAG